rnacentral:sRNA from 1 species
GAAACCACAGUGCUGCCUGCAGGGUGCUGUGGAUCUGGCAUGGCCCAUACAGGCAACAUGACUGAGUAGAAAGGACACACAGCUCUGGAUGUCCUUGGGCCCCACAGCAACUGCCCUUGAAACAUUUAGUCCUUGUGAGCAUUUGAUGAUUUACUUGCCUUCAAUUUUCCAUGGACCUAAUACUCUUUUUAAAGGGAAAUAUUUUAAACAUAUGAAACAUUGUGGAGAAUGGCAUGGGAAAUACCCACGUAUGCACCACCCAGCUUAACAAAUGCUCUCCUGUCAUUUCUAACCACGAUCUCUUUGAAGAGCUCUUUUGUCUUUCAAUCUCUCUUCCCUGUUUGGCCCACAUUACCCUUCAUCGUAUGAAGACUUGGAUGGCUCCUGUGUCAGACUCUUGCUGUGAGUUAUACCUAAUGAACUAGAACUUAAGAUUACUGUGUAUUGUACAUCUAGAGGAUUAUGUAAUGUCAGGAUCAAAGUCUGGCUUCCUGGGUUUGGCUCCAGCUGUAGCAUAAGGCUGUUGAUGUUUAAUCAACUCUGUUUUCUCCACACAGUAUUUAUGACUGUCAACAGCCUAUGCUGGCUAUCACAGAUCCCGACAUGAUCAAAACAGUGCUAGUGAAAGAAUGUUAUUCUGUCUUCACAAACCGGAGGCCUUUUGGUCCAGUGGGAUUUAUGAAAAGUGCCAUCUCUAUAGCUGAGGAUGAAGAAUGGAAGAGAAUACGAUCAUUGCUGUCUCCAACAUUCACCAGUGGAAAACUCAAGGAGAUGGUCCCUAUCAUUGCCCAGUAUGGAGAUGUGUUGGUGAGAAAUCUGAGGCGGGAAGCAGAGACAGGCAAGCCUGUCACCUUGAAACACGUCUUUGGGGCCUACAGCAUGGAUGUGAUCACUAGCACAUCAUUUGGAGUGAACAUCGACUCUCUCAACAAUCCACAAGACCCCUUUGUGGAAAACACCAAGAAGCUUUUAAGAUUUAAUCCAUUAGAUCCAUUUGUUCUCUCAAUAAAAGUCUUUCCAUUCCUUACCCCAAUUCUUGAAGCAUUAAAUAUCACUGUGUUUCCAAGAAAAGUUAUAAGUUUUCUAACAAAAUCUGUAAAACAGAUAAAAGAAGGUCGCCUCAAAGAGACACAAAAGCACCGAGUGGAUUUCCUUCAGCUGAUGAUUGACUCUCAGAAUUCAGAAGACUCUGAGACCCACAAAGCUCUGUCCGAUCUGGAGCUCAUGGCCCAAUCAAUUAUCUUUAUUUUUGCUGGCUAUGAAACCACGAGCAGUGUUCUCUCCUUCAUUAUAUAUGAACUGGCCACUCACCCUGAUGUCCAGCAGAAAGUGCAGAAGGAAAUUGAUACAGUUUUACCCAAUAAGGCACCACCCACCUAUGAUACUGUGCUACAGUUGGAGUAUCUUGACAUGGUGGUGAAUGAAACACUCAGAUUAUUCCCAGUUGCUAUGAGACUUGAGAGGGUCUGCAAAAAAGAUGUUGAGAUCAAUGGGAUGUUUAUUCCCAAAGGGGUGGUGGUGAUGAUUCCAAGCUAUGUUCUUCAUCAUGACCCAAAGUACUGGACAGAGCCUGAGAAGUUCCUCCCUGAAAGGUUCAGUAAAAAGAACAAGGACAACAUAGAUCCUUACAUAUACACACCCUUUGGAAGUGGACCCAGAAACUGCAUUGGCAUGAGGUUUGCUCUCGUGAACAUGAAACUUGCUCUAGUCAGAGUCCUUCAGAACUUCUCCUUCAAACCUUGUAAAGAAACACAGAUCCCCCUGAAAUUACGCUUUGGAGGACUUCUUCUAACAGAAAAACCCAUUGUUCUAAAGGCUGAGUCAAGGGAUGAGACCGUAAGUGGAGCCUGAUUUCCCUAAGGACUUCUGGUUUGCUCUUCAAGAAAGCUGUGCCCCAGAACACCAGAGACCUCAAAUUACUUUAUAAAUAGAACCCUGAAAUGAAGACGGGCUUCAUCCAAUGUGCUGCAUAAAUAAUCGGGGAUUCUGUACGUGCAUUGUGCUCUCUCAUGGUCUAUAUAGAGUGUUAUACUUGGUAAUAUAGAGGAGAUGACCAAAUCAGUGCUGGGGAAGUAGAUUUGGCUUCUCUGCUUCUCAUAGGACUAUCUCCACCACCCCCAGUUAGCACCAUUAACUCCUCCUGAGCUCUGAUAACAUAAUUAACAUUUCUCAAUAAUUUCAACCACAAUCAUUAAUAAAAAUAGGAAUUAUUUUGAUGGCUCUAACAGUGACAUUUAUAUCAUGUGUUAUAUCUGUAGUAUUCUAUAGUAAGCUUUAUAUUAAGCAAAUCAAUAAAAACCUCUUUACAAAAGUA